rnacentral:rRNA from 1 species
ACACAUGCAAGUCGAACGGUAGCAGGAAGAAAGCUUGCUUUCUUUGCUGACGAGUGGCGGACGGGUGAGUAAUGCUUGGGAAUCUGGCUUAUGGAGGGGGAUAACUGCGGGAAACUGCAGCUAAUACCGCGUAUUAUCGAGAGAUGAAAGGGUGGGACCUUCGGGCCACCUGCCAUAAGAUGAGCCCAAGUGGGAUUAGGUAGUUGGUGGGGUAAAGGCCUACCAAGCCGACGAUCUCUAGCUGGUCUGAGAGGAUGACCAGCCACACUGGGACUGAGACACGGCCCAGACUCCUACGGGAGGCAGCAGUGGGGAAUAUUGCGCAAUGGGGGGAACCCUGACGCAGCCAUGCCGCGUGAAUGAAGAAGGCCUUCGGGUUGUAAAGUUCUUUCGGUAAUGAGGAAGGGGUAUUAUUGAAUAGAUAAUAUCAUUGACGUUAAUUACAGAAGAAGCACCGGCUAACUCCGUGCCAGCAGCCGCGGUAAUACGGAGGGUGCGAGCGUUAAUCGGAAUAACUGGGCGUAAAGGGCACGCAGGCGGGCUUUUAAGUGAGAUGUGAAAUCCCCGAGCUUAACUUGGGAACUGCAUUUCAGACUGGGAGUCUAGAGUACUUUAGGGAGGGGUAGAAUUCCACGUGUAGCGGUGAAAUGCGUAGAGAUGUGGAGGAAUACCGAAGGCGAAGGCAGCCCCUUGGGAAUGUACUGACGCUCAUGUGCGAAAGCGUGGGGAGCAAACAGGAUUAGAUACCCU